rnacentral:tRNA from 1 species
GGUUUGGUAGCUCAGCUGGAUAGAGCAACGGUCUUCUAAACCGUGGUCGUGAGUUCGAAUCUCACCCAAAUCA